rnacentral:tRNA from 1 species
GGUGGCUCAGUGGUAGAGUGCUUGUCUUGAAUGCAUGAGGCUCUGGGUUCGAUUCCUCAGCACCA